rnacentral:ncRNA from 2 species
CCGACUGGGCGUGGCGAUUUGUUACCGGAUUGCGGGCCACGUUAAACACGCCGCUAAAGAGGUCGAAGGAAAGAGCCC